rnacentral:rRNA from 1 species
AUCUACGGCCAUGCCACCCUGAACAAGCCCGACCCUGUCUGAUCUCGGAAGCUAAGCUGGAUCGGGCCUGGUUAGUACUUGGGUGGGAGACCACCUAGGAAGACCAGGUGCUGUAGGUG